GCAGCUCUUAAAAAUGGAUAAACUUGGCAUGGUACAUUAGUCUGUUGUCGCACCGCCUCUUCCUCAUGGUAGCACGGGUCAAUUCGAGGAAAUGAUAAAGAGGUCGGUUGCUUCCUUUGAGUUCCUCACCUUCAUUUUUUCCAGUGCUGCAAGCUACAGUCUCUGGCUCAGAGGAGGUCUUCUGAUAGCAUGUUUCGGUGACGAGCAUUCUUCUGGACUCUUUAGAAGCAAUUCUUAGGUGACGAGCAUGUUGAAUCUACAUAGAUUGUUUUCAGGGUCAUACGCUCUUCCAAAAGAUCUGUUGGUUGAUAUAGUCGUAUGUCAUUUUGCCUUUAAUAAUCAAAAUUGGUGUCUCAUUCUCAAACUUCUCUUUGUUCAAGCACUUAAAGAAGCCUUUGAGGGCUUCUGUGACAACAUUUUGAAGAAAAGCUGCAUUUAAAAGCUCAGUGCCCUCGAGAAGGUGCAACACUACCUUUUGUUUUACUGAUACUAUAAAUUUAUAGAAUAAGCAACUAAGGUUUGACACUGAAUAACUUUUGGGGAGGACGCCAAGGUGUGGAACCACGAGAAGAUCGCCAUCAUCCUUGGCCACUCAUCUUCACCAACGACGAGCGGACGAACCGAUAACCGGGGACUUCUGCAACGAGCGGAAGAUUAGGCAAAUUCACAAUACAGAGGUGUUUGCCAGAUUGCGCCCGCUCAAGAAGGCCUGGUGCUGACCAGACGAUGUUCUCCUUGGUACUGAUUUUCACACGUUUAAUGCUGGAACUUUUGGUCAAUUUGCAACUGGAAUUGAAAAUACUAAUGCAGGUUUGAUAUUGGAGCUGGAAAGGUUCUUCUCAAGGUAUACGAUGUCCUACAUGGCUAAUGAUGCCGAUGAGCUGAAUUUCUCUUUUUUGGACACAGUAGUAGGAGAACUUACUGCGAAACGCCUAACCAGACGAUGAUGAGGCUGCUGCCAUUGGCACUGGAAUGACCCCAAAGGCUGGAGACUGCGUGUUGAAGCUCCUCCGGACGGCAUCCUCCCGCAGCAAAUCUCCAACCUCUCCUUCUCUAGAUAUGUUCUCUGCUCUUUUUUGGACCAUACUAGAUUGAUUGCCAGCUAGACCUCAUAUGCAUCACUAAUCAGCGAUCGCCAUUUCUGAUGUAUCACUGAGAUGUUGCAAUUGCAUAUUUAGUAUCUAAUGCUAAUUGAAAAUUUCUCUUUU